rnacentral:rRNA from 1 species
GGAGGGGUGCGAGCGUUGUCCGGAAUCACUGGGCGUAAAGGGCGCGUAGGCGGGCGCAGUAAGUAGGGGGGGGUGAAAUCUCAUGGCUCAACCGUGAAACGGCCUCCUAAACUGCUGUGCUUGAGCACGGUAGAGGCAGAUGGAAUUCCCGGUGUAGCGGUGGAAUGCGUAGAUAUCGGGAAGAACACCAGUGGCGAAGGCGGUCUGCUGGGCCGUUGCUGACGCUGAGGCGCGACAGCGUGGGGAGCAAACAGGAUUAGAUACCCUGGUAGUCCACGCCGUAAACGAUGGGUACUAGGCGUCGGGGGGAGCGACCCCUUCGGUGCCGUCGCUAACGCAGUAAGUACCCCGCCUGGGGAGUACGGCCGCAAGGCUG